UAAACCUGUAGCUGGAGCAGUCAACAGAGGCAAGGUCACCUUGUGGCAGCUGCAGCUGCAAACAUGGGAAGGAAGCAGGGGGCGGGGGAGGACAGGAGAUCAUGUUUUGGAAGAGGGUGCUGGGCAGACCAUCCAAUAAGGGCCAAUGGCAGCCCUUCUCUAAGAAUGAGAAAUGUCAUUCUGACCAGCAGUUGACAGUUAAGGGUCAUCCAAAUGAGCAACAUGCUUAUCCUAAAAGGAUUGGCUAGAGACAAAAGAGGAAGUGGGUUACACACUUAUCCAAAAAGGAUUGGUUAGAGACAAAAGAGGAAGAAGAAAUAAAAGGGACUGGCUCAUUUCUUCAUGAACUUCCUGUCUGUAACUUUGUCAGGCAGAGCCUGAAGUGCUCUGUGGUUCCUGGGCUAUUGCCCGGCAUUAGCAGGACUGGAGUUUGGCUGCAGAGGGAGGCGAGAGUACAAAAGAUACUCGGGAAGCUGAUUGAAAGCCAUUAAAUUGUUUUUAGAGCCAGGAAAGGAGACAUUAAAAUGUCUUAGGAGCUGUAGCCUGAGAUGAAUACCAUAAGAGCAUGUUGGAUUUAAUCAGUGACAUACAAAUAGGCUAAAGGAAGUUUUUGUUGUUGUUUUAGGCUUUUUUUUGAGACAGGGUCUUGUCCUGUCACUCAGGCCGAAGUGCAGUGGCGCAAUCAUGGCUCACUGCAGCCUUGACCUCCCAGGUUCAAGUGAUCCUCCCAGCCUCAGCCUCUGAGUAGCUGGGACUACAGGUGUGCACCUCGUCCGCCUAAUCUUUUUGAAUUUUUGUAGAGAGGGGUCUCGCUAUGUUGUCCAGGCUGGUCUCAAACUUCUGGGCUCAAGCAACCCGCCUGCCUUGGCCUCCCAAAAUGCUGGGAUUACAGGCAUGAGCCACUCCAUCUGGCCUGAAGAUGUUAAAUGCAGUCUAGGUGGGGUUCAGACUUCCCCCGACCCCAAGUGGAUGAAAAAGUGGGUGCAGGCUGUGAGAGUUAAACUGACACUUUGAGGUGCUGCCAUUGUAAAUCAGAGAGUUAAGAAAAACAAAUAGCUACAUACUGUGAUGAACCGGAAAUAACCAGGUCAUCCUGUGCAGUUCAGUUCCCCCAAAUAAAAGAAACUUGAGCAUUCCCAUACUUUACUGAUUCCCUAAGGAAAAACAGCAUUAUCUCUUAUGACUGCAGUGCUUACCUAUGUCAGGGGAUAUGAUGUGACAUUUGUGGGUUUGAUAAUCAAGUGACAACAUUUCUAAUUUCACACAGUGAGCAGCCUAUCAUAAACUUGGUAACCUUGGCAAAUUUGUAGUUAUUUCCCUUUGGUUUUUUUCCAUCGUUCAAUGGAUUUGUUUUCUUUUUAAGUAGAGACAGGGUCUGGCUGUGUCACCGAGAAUGCUGCAGUGCAGUGGUACGACCAUAGCUCACUGCAGCCUUGAACUCCUGGGUUCAAGUGAUCCUUCCACCUUAGCCUACCAAGUAGCUAGGACUACAGGUGUGUGCCACCAUGUCUGGCUAAUUUUUGUUUGAUUUGUUUGCAGACAUGGAGGCCUGCUGUGUUGCCCAGGCUGGUUUCAAACACCUGACCUCAGGUGAUCCUCCUGCCUCAGCCUCCCAAAGUGCUGGGAUCAGAGACUUGAGCCACUGUGGCCAGCCGGAAUUUAAAUUCCACUGAAUUUUUUUGUGUGAUUAGCCUUCUUGCCGAAGCCUUGACACUCUUGCAAACCUUUGCGAGUACAUUUCUUCUAUUUCAGAAGACUCCUUGCUCUCCAAGACUUUUUUCUACAAGGUGUAACCAGAAGCCAGGAGGCCUGUUGCAAAACCAAUCCCAUUUGAAAGCAGAGAAUGUGAACUCACCUAUUGUCAUAAUGAUUAUAAAAGAGGCUUUGGCUCACUCCUGUAAUCCCAGCACUUUGGAAGGCCAAGGCAGGCCAAUCACCUGAGGUCAGGAGUUCAAGAUCAGCCUGGCCUACAUGGCGAAACCCCAUCUCCACUAAAAAUACAAAAAUUAGCCAGGCAUGCUGGUGCACGCCUGUAAUCCCAGCCACUCUACUCAGGAGGCUGAGGCAGGAGAAUUGCUUGAACCUGGGAGGUGGAGGCUGCAGUGAGCCAAGACGGCACCACUGCACUCCAGCCAGGCGACCGAGCGAGACUCUGUCUGAAAAAAAAAAAAAAAAAAUCAUGAAAGAGGGUGGGUGCGGUGGCUCAUGUCUGGAAUCCCAGCGUUUUGAGAGGCAAAGGAGCGAGGAUCGCUUUAGUCCAGGAGUGCUAGACCAGCCUGCGCAACAUAGUGAGACCCUGUCUCUACCAAAAAUUAAAUUAUUUGGGCAUGAUGGCACAUGCCUGUAGUCCCAGCUACUUAGGAGGCUGAGGUGGGAGGAUCACUUGAGGUUUUCGUCAUGGAAGUCUCUUGCCCUGGAGGUCGAGGCUGCAGUAACCCAUGAUCGUGCCACUGCACUCUAGCCUGGGCAACAAAGCAAGACCCUGUCUCAAAUUAAAAAAAAAAAAAAAAAAAAGGCUUAGGGAGUUACUGAAGAAUCACCCUGGGCUGUAGUUCACAGCGGGUGUGCAUAGGUUAAGGAGAAGACAUCUGCCUGUGUUUCAGUAAAGAGAUAAAGUUGCAGUGGCUGGGCAACCUUGUAAACAUUCUGGGAAGGAAUGCAGAAUGCAAAACCCAGCUGAAAAAUCUAGAAGAAAUCAUGUCCCAGUUAAAGAAGAUAUUCCUCCUGAGUCCUUCAAGCUCUACUACUUUAAUGAGAUGCAAAGAAAGCUUGCAGAGCUAAGGAAAUAGAGGAUAAAGCAUCACCCUUACAGAAUCAAAAAACUGGAAACAGCAAGGAACAGCUGGAAAAUGGCUCCAUAGUUCUGAAACCACUUGCUACGCCAGUGGUUCUAGGUGCAGUCCCAGCACCAGCAGUGUCAGCACCACCUGAGAACUUGUUAGAAAUGAAGUGAAUUGGUGUGGGGAGCAGAACCAGCAAUCUGGCUUAAUCAGCCCUCCAGGUGGUCCCGAUGCCCACUAAAAUUUGAGACUAUGUUCUUUUCCCUCUCAGGCUGAAGAGUUGGGCAUAGCAAUGUUGUUCAGCUCCAGAUUCCAGAACUAGACACGUUUCUCCCAGGGAGAUUCUUAUGAACAUUCCUUUUCAAGAACAGAAAGAGGCCGGGCGCGGUGGCUCAUGCCUGUAAUCCCAGCAUUUUGGGAGGCUGAGGCGGGUGGAUCACCUGAGGUCAGGAGUUCGAGACCAGCCUGACCAACAUAGAGAAACCCCAUCUCUACUAAAAAUACAAAAUUAGCCAGGUGUGGUGGCACAUGCCUGUAAUCCCAGCUGCUCGGGAGGCUGAGGCAGGAGAAUCAUUCGAACCUGGGAGGCAGAGGUUGCAGUGAGCCAAGAUCAUGCCAUUGCACUCCAGCCUGGGCAACAAGAGCGAAACUCCAUCUCAAAAAAAAAAAAAAAAAAAGAGAAAAAAAGGCCAGGUGCAGUGGUUCAUGCCUGAAAUCCCAGAACUUUGGGAGGCCGAGGUGGGCAGAUCACCUGAGGUCAGGAGUUCCAGACCAGCCUGGCCAACAUGGUGAAAUCCCGUCUCUACUAAAAUUACAAAAAUUAGCCAGGCAUGAUGGCAGAUGCCUGGUAAUCCCAGCUACUCAGGAGGCUGAGGCAGGAGAACAGCUUGAACCCAGGUGGCAGAGGUUGCAGUGAGCUGAGAUCAUGCCACUGCACUCCAGCCUGGGCGACAAGAGCGAGACUCCGUCUCAAAAAAAAAAAAAGAACAGAAAUAAUCAAACCACAGCAUCAAUUCAUUCAUUCAUUCCACUAACAUUUAUUAAGCAGCAAGCUCCGAAGCAGACGUUUACCAGUUUUGCACAACUUUGUCAUGGACCAGCUGGCCUUGUGGCUCAGUGGCAUCUGGAGGCAAGAGGGCCAAGUAGACAGGGGUCUCAGCCCCCUCCUCCACAGUCCUGAUGCUGUCUUUCCCAUCCAUGUCUGUCUUCACUGGUCCUGGGCAGCACGCAUUCACCAGAAUCCUGUCAGCUUUCCUCUUCUCAUCCAGAUGCCUGGCCAGGAUCCUCGAUAAGACCGUGACCCCCAACUUGGACACCCCAUAAGCUUUGUUCUCAGAAACUUGGCGGCUACAAGGAAUUAAAUGUAAAUGGGAAAGGAAGAAAGAAAAACACAGAUCAUAGAAGCUGUGCCUUCGAGGAAAUAAAUCCUCUUAAGGGGAGGAGGUGUCCUCUUUGAUCUGAGGGCACACCUCUGGGAGAGAGGCCAGAGGCUGACAGUCAGCCUCGUCAGCCAGAUGCGUCAUCAGCCCUGGGAAGGGCUGCACCCACACCACCCUCCACUGAGGUCCAGGUGGCCCCACCGGUCCCGAAACACCUGCUGCCUUACUCUAGAAAGAGUAGGCAAGUUGCGCCCUCUAGUGGCUUAGUAGUUGCUUGGCCUAUUUACUCAGAACCUUGAACAAAUAAGCAAGUCAAAUACAGAUGGUCCCUGCCCUCUGAUGGUUCCACUUAGGACUUACUGACUUCACUGAUGGAUGAGGAAGCGAUAUGCAUUCUGCAGAAUCUGUAUUGGAGGCCCCAUACAACCAUUCUGCAUUUCACUUUCAGUACAGAUUCAAUAAAUUACAUAAGAUACUCAA
rnacentral:sRNA from 1 species